rnacentral:rRNA from 1 species
UACGUAGGGGGCUAGCGUUGUCCGGAAUCAUUGGGCGUAAAGCGCGUGUAGGCGGCCCGGUAAGUCCGCUCUGAAAGUCGGGGGCUCAACCCUCGAUGCCGGUGGAUACUGUCGGGCUUGAGUACGGAAGAGGCGAGUGGAAUUCCUGGUGUAGCGGUGAAAUGCGCAGAUAUCAGGAGGAACACCAAUUGCGAAGGCAGCUCGCUGGGACGUUACUGACGCUGAGACGCGAAAGCGUGGGAGCAACAGG